GGAUGAAUAUUGCACAAUGGGCGCAAGCCUGAUGCAGCGACGCCGCGUGAGGGAUGACGGCCUUCGGGUUGUAAACCUCUUUCACCAGGGACGAAGCGCAAGUGACGGUACCUGGAGAAGAAGCACCGGCCAACUACGUGCCAGCAGCCGCGGUAAUACGUAGGGUGCGAGCGUUGUCCGGAAUUACUGGGCGUAAAGAGCUCGUAGGUGGUUUGUCGCGUUGUUCGUGAAAACUCACAGCUUAACUGUG
rnacentral:rRNA from 1 species